AAAUGUGAGGGCGAUCUGGCUGCGGCAUGUCACUCCAUUGACCGCCAGGCUGACCUGGCUGGUUAGGCAGGCACCCCCUUCCUCCCUCACCACUCCAUGUGUGUCCCUCCCAAAGCUGCAUGCUCAGUGGAAGAGAAGGCCUUCCCCGAAUAAAAUUACUUGUCAAGGCAAAA
rnacentral:snRNA from 1 species